UGAGUACAAGAUGCUACGGCAUUGAAGCAGUCUAUGUCAUACUUCCAAGAAAAGCUUGCAAUGUCACAAACAAAUAAUGCCUGUACCAUAACCGACACAGGUGGGUAGGUAGAGUAUACUAAGGGGCGCGAGAUAACUCUCUCUAAGGAACUCGGCAAAAUGACUCCGUAACUUCGGGAGAAGGAGUACCUUAUUUUAUAAGGUUGCAAUAACAAGGUCCAAGCAACUGUUUACCAAAAACACAGGUCUCCGCUAAGUCGUAAGACGAUGUAUGGGGGCUGACGCCUGCCCAGUGCCAGAAGGUUAAAGAAGUUGGUUAGCAUUAGCGAAGCUGAUAACUGAAGCCCUGGUGAACGGCGGCCGUAACUAUAACGGUCCUAAGGUAGCGAAAUUCCUUGUCGGGUAAGUUCCGACCCGCACGAAAGGCGUAAUGAUUUGGAUACUGUCUCGGAGAGGGGCUCGGUGAAAUAGACUUGUCUGUGAAGAUGCGGACUACCUGCACCUAGACAGAAAGACCCUAUGAAGCUUUACUGUAACUUGAGAUUGAAAUUGGACUUUAUUUGCGCAGUAUAGGUGGGAGACCUCGAAAGUAUUCUUGCGGGAAUAUUGGAGUCAUCAGUGAGAUACCAUUCUUAUAAUGUUAGAUUUCUAACUUUGUAUCAUUAUCUGGUCAAAGAACAGUUUCAGGCGGGCAGUUUGACUGGGGCGGUCGCCUCCCAAAUGGUAACGGAGGCGCACAAAGGUUUCCUCUGAACGUGUAGAAAUCGUACCUAGAGUGUAAAGGCAUAAGGAAGCUUGACUGUGAGACUUACAAGUCGAGCAGGGACGAAAGUCGGUCUUAGUGAUCUGACGGUGCUGAGUGGAAAGGCCGUCACUCAACGGAUAAAAGUUACUCUAAGGAUAACAGGCUGAUCUCCCCCAAGAGUUCACAUCGACGGGGAGGUUUGGCUCCUCGAUGUCGGCUCAUCGCAUCCUGGGGCGGUAGUACGUCCCAAGGGUUGGGCUGUUCGCCCAUGAAAGCGGUACGCGAGCUGGGUUCAGAACGUCGUGAGACAGUUCGGUCCAUAUCCGGUGUAGGCGUUAGAAUAUUGAGAGGAGCCUUCUUUAGUACGAGAGGACCGAGAAGGACAUACCUCUGGUGUACCAGUUAUCGUGCCAACGGUAAACGCUGGGUAGCUAUGUAUGGAGAGGAUAACCGCUGAAAGCAUCUAAGUGGGAAGCCCACCUCAAGAUAAG
rnacentral:rRNA from 1 species